GUCCCGGUUUAAGCGUGUAGGCUGGUUUUCCAGGCAAAUCCGGAAAAUCAAGGCUGAGGCGUGAUGACGAGGCACUACGGUGCUGAAGCAACAAAUGCCCUGCUUCCAGGAAAAGCCUCUAAGCAUCAGGUAACAUCAAAUCGUACCCCAAACCGACACAGGUGGUCAGGUAGAGAAUACCAAGGCGCUUGAGAGAACUCGGGUGAAGGAACUAGGCAAAAUGGUGCCGUAACUUCGGGAGAA
rnacentral:rRNA from 1 species